GUUGAGCUCAAUGCUGUUAAUAGCCGGUUGUCUCAUGGCUAAAACUUAUCAUAGCUAUUUACAAGAAGACAAAAAUUCAUCAGGAGUUUCAUUUUCUCAUGGAAGUGACAAAACUUGUGUAACAUGCAUUUUUUUUAUUGGUGCAAUGGUUUUCUGUUUCCUUGCAUUCAUAUUUUGUGCAUCAGAUGCUCACGAUUACUACGUGUUGCUCAGACAUCAAACACCCACUACGACUGAGGCACCAGUGACAUCUGCUAAAUAACCAGUUGAAACUGUACUUUUGUAAGCAGUGGUUUCACUAUUUUACAACUGUAUUUUUGUCAUAAUUUUGUCGAAACAAAGAUUGGUUUAUAUAAUCAUAGAUGCACACUGAAUAUACAGUGGAGUUAAGAAUUUUAAUAGUUUUCUAUUUUAUGUAACGGUAGUUUCAGCAUGCUUUUUCUUAAAAUAAAAUUUGAAAACUAU